rnacentral:misc_RNA from 1 species
GAUGAAGAACGUAGCGAAAUGCGAUAACUAAUGUGAAUUGCAGAAUUCAGUGAUUCAUCGAGUCUUUGAACGCACAUUGCGCCCCCUGGUAUUCCGGGGGGCAUGCCUGUCCGAGCGUCAUUGCUGCCCUCAAGCACGGCUUGUGUGUUGGGCUCCGUCCCCCCGGGGACGGGCCCGAAAGGCAGCGGCGGCACCGAGUCCGGUCCUCGAGCGUAUGGGGCUUUGUCACCCGCUCUGUAGGCCCGGCCGGCGCCAGCCGACACCCAACUUUAUUUCUAAGGUUGACCUCGGAUCAGGUAGGGAUACCCGCUGAACUUAAGCAUAUCAAUAAGCGGAGGA